rnacentral:tRNA from 8 species
GGGGAUAUAGCUCAGUUGGUAGAGCGCCGCUCUUGCAAGGCGGUAAUGAUAGUAUCUUGUACCUG